rnacentral:rRNA from 1 species
GAGGGGAGUGAAAAAGAACCUGAAACCGUGUACGUACAAGCAGUGGGAGCACCCUUCGGGGUGUGACUGCGUACCUUUUGUAUAAUGGGUCAGCGACUUAUAUUCUGUAGCAAGGUUAACCGAAUAGGGGAGCCGGAGGGAAACCGAGUCUUAAUUGGGCGUUAAGUUGCAGGGUAUAGACCCGAAACCCGGUGAUCUAGCCAUGGGCAGGUUGAAGGUUGGGUAACACUAACUGGAGGACCGAACCGACUAAUGUUGAAAAAUUAGCGGAUGACCUGUGGCUGGGGGUGAAAGGCCAAUCAAACCGGGAGAUAGCUGGUUCUCCCCGAAAGCUAUUUAGGUAGCGCCUCGUGAAUUCAUCUCCGGGGGUAGAGCACUGUUUCGGCUAGGGGGCCAUCCCGGCUUACCAACCCGAUGCAAACUGCGAAUACCGGAGAAUGUUAUCACGGGAGACACACGGCGGGUGCUAACGUCCGUCGUGAAGAGGGAAACAACCCAGACCGCCAGCUAAGGUCCCAAAGUCAUGGUUAAGUGGGAAACGAUGUGGGAAGGCCCAGACAGCCAGGAUGUUGGCUUAGAAGCAGCCAUCAUUUAAAGAAAGCGUAAUAGCUCACUGGUCGAGUCGGCCUGCGCGGAAGAUGUAACGGGGCUAAACCAUGCACCGAAGCUGCGGCAGCGACACUCAGGUGUUGUUGGGUAGGGGAGCGUUCUGUAAGCCUGUGAAGGUGUGUCGUG